UACGGAGGGUGCAAGCGUUAUCCGGAUUCACUGGGUUUAAAGGGUGCGUAGGCGGAUAUGUAAGUCAGUGGUGAAAUCUCCAAGCUUAACUUGGAAACUGCCGUUGAUACUAUCUGUCUUGAAUAUUGUGGAGGUGAGCGGAAUAUGUCAUGUAGCGGUGAAAUGCGUAGAUAUGACAUAGAACACCAAUGGCGAAGGCAGCUCACUACACAAUCAUUGACUCUGAGGCACGAAAGCGUGGGGAGCAAACAGG
rnacentral:rRNA from 1 species